rnacentral:rRNA from 1 species
AUUGAACGCUGGCGGCAGGCUUAACACAUGCAAGUCGAGCGGAGUGAUGGUGCUUGCACUAUCACUUAGCGGCGGACGGGUGAGUAAUGCUUAGGAAUCUGCCUAUUAGUGGGGGACAACAUCUCGAAAGGGAUGCUAAUACCGCAUACGUGCUACGGGAGAAAGCAGGGGAUCACUUGUGACCUUGCGCUAAUAGAUGAGCCUAAGUCGGAUUAGCUAGUUGGUGGGGUAAAGGCCUACCAAGGCGACGAUCUGUAGCGGGUCUGAGAGGAUGAUCCGCCACACUGGGACUGAGACACGGCCCAGACUCCUACGGGAGGCAGCAGUGGGGAAUAUUGGACAAUGGGGGGAACCCUGAUCCAGCCAUGCCGCGUGUGUGAAGAAGGCCUUAUGGUUGUAAAGCACUUUAAGCGAGGAGGAGGCUCUUUUGGUUAAUACCCAAGAUGAGUGGACGUUACUCCCAGAAUAAGCACCGGCUAACUCUGUGCCAGCCGCCGCGGUAAAAC